UAUUAUUAUUUUGGGGGUUUUAUUUGAGAUAUUCCAGAAUUUCCAGGAUUGAAAUAAUUUAAAGCCAGAGAGCUGGGAGCCUUCCACAUAUUGUGUAUCUUAAAGAGUAAUAUUGGGGAUUUACAGACUUUACUCAGUGAAUUUACUGACGGUGGUCUGAACAUACAUGAUUAAAAAACUUAGAAAAGGCAUGACAAUAGUUCUGUCUUCCGAAUUUCUGGAUACAUCAACCUUCAACUGCUAUGGGUUACUAAUCUUUAAUUUUAAAGAGUAUUAUGUACUUAAGUAAAGAUAAAUUCUGACAAAUUGGGAUAGUUUGC
rnacentral:lncRNA from 1 species